AAGAACCGUUCACGCGACCUGGAGAUAAAUUUCGUCUUCUUGGGUGUAACCGACGGUUUUUUCAUCACAAGAAAUGUUUCUUUUAGCACAGAUUCCGGUGGGAAGGGCGGAGAGGACGGAGUCGUAGGAGUCGGUGGCCGGGGAGAGGGCGGAAUCGAGGUCCAAAGGAGUUUCCGGUGGAGGCGGAGAGGGAACAAAGAAAAGUGGGGAAGGAGGGAGUACUGAAAGCUAAGCUUACUCUGGAGCAUGAUAGCCGAAAGUUCCUAGAACUCGAGUCGAAUGUAGACGAGCUGCUGUGUCAGGAGACUGGUUGGUGAGAUUGAAGUCAGCAAUUUUGGAUUCAUAAUCGUCGAAAAGAAGAACAUUGCUGGAUCUGACAUCCCGAUGAACAAUUGAUGGAUGGACUUUUUCGUGAAGAUACUCAAGACCUCUUGCUGCACCAUAGGCAAUCUUCACUCUUUGAUUCCAGCUCAGGACAGGUCCAGGUUCAGCACCUUGCACUCCUUUCCUCCCUGUGCCAGAAAAUUUUCCCUAAUGUUAACCUUGAUCGAUAAAAUCGCGCAACCUGUUGAUAGGAUAUAAAUCCACUACCAUGUAAAACGUCAUGUAAAGACCCAUUGGUUGCAAACUGAUAUACUAAUAUCCGAUUGUUUGCGUCUAAA